rnacentral:rRNA from 1 species
GAUGAACGCUGGCGGCGUGCCUAAUACAUGCAAGUCGAGCGAACAGACGAGGAGCUUGCUCCUCUGACGUUAGCGGCGGACGGGUGAGUAACACGUGGAUAACCUACCUAUAAGACUGGGAUAAAUUCGGGAAACCGGAGCUAAUACCGGAUAAUAUAUUGAACCGCAUGGUUCAAUAGUGAAAGACGGUUUUGCUGUCACUUAUAGAUGGAUCCGCGCCGCAUUAGCUAGUUGGUAAGGUAACGGCUUACCAAGGCAACGAUGCGUAGCCGACCUGAGAGGGUGAUCGGCCACACUGGAACUGAGACACGGUCCAGACUCCUACGGGAGGCAGCAGUAGGGAAUAUUCCGCAAUGGGCGAAAGCCUGACGGAGCAACGCCGCGUGAGUGAUGAAGGUCUUCGGAUCGUAAAGCUCUGUUAUUAGGGAAGAACAGAAGUGUAAGUAUCUAUGCACGUCUUGACGGUACCUAAUCAGAAAGCCACGGCUAACUACGUG